CGCGAACUAGUGUAGAGAUUGCACACGAGAUUCACCGACCGUGUGAUUCUUGGAAGGUGGUUCGAUUCCACCGUUCGCGA